AGUGAACGCUGGCGGUAGGCCUAACACAUGCAAGUCGAACGGCAGCACAGUAAGAGCUUGCUCUUACGGGUGGCGAGUGGCGGACGGGUGAGGAAUACAUCGGAAUCUACUUUUUCGUGGGGGAUAACGUAGGGAAACUUACGCUAAUACCGCAUACGACCUACGGGUGAAAGCAGGGGAUCUUCGGACCUUGCGCGAUUGAAUGAGCCGAUGUCGGAUUAGCUAGUUGGCGGGGUAAAGGCCCACCAAGGCGACGAUCCGUAGCUGGUCUGAGAGGAUGAUCGGCCACACUGGAACUGAGACACGGUCCAGACUCCUACGGGAGGCAGCAGUGGGGAAUAUUGGACAAUGGGCGCAAGCCUGAUCCAGCAAUACCGCGUGGGUGAAGAAGGCCUUCGGGUUGUAAAGCCCUUUUGUUGGGAAAGAAAAGCAGCAGGUUAAUACGCCGCUGUUCUGACGGUACCCAAAGAAUAAGCACCGGCUAACUUCGUG
rnacentral:rRNA from 1 species